AUCUUCAGCACUUAAUAAAUGUUGAUUGAUUGACUGAAAACACUAAUAUGGCUACAUAGGAAAUUCUUCAGUGAAUUCAGAUGUUAAAAAGAUUGGGCAAGGAGAGGAGCAUGAGACUCCUAAAAAUCAUGUUGUUUUUAUUGUUCAGUCAUUUUCAGUCAAGUCCCACUCUGUGACCCCAUUUGGGUUUUUCUUGGCAUAGAUACUGGGGUGGUUUGCUAUUUCCUUCUCAGUUCAUUUUACAGAUAGGGAAACUGAGGUAAAGGUAAGUGACUUGCUCAGGGUCACAGAGGGCAGAUUUGAACUCAGGAAGAUGAGUCUUCUUGCUAGAAGGCUAAAGUUCACCACAUGCUAAGACUGAUAAUAAAUACUAAGAAUAAGAAAAGGGACUUUUAAAAAACUCUCUGCUAGACACAGGAAGUUAUGAGGCACCUGCAGAUGAACACUGAUAAAUGGAAUUUCUUCAUCUGUUUAUUAAACCAAUAAAAUCAUGUCAGGACUUUUAAAAAAAGUUAGACUAAGUCAGAGAAAGGUCAGCAUGCAGAGGAAUGACAUAAGUCCCAGAAUGCUCCAGUGAGAGCCACGAAUCUACAAGGAAAAUUUAAGUGGAUGAAAAAUGCAAGUUUCCCAGAUAAUGAAUGUCACAACACUUGAAAGUUGGAAGGACCUCAGUGUACAUCAAGGUUACCCCAUGUGUGAAGGGAAUCCCAUGAUAACUUGAUCUUCAAGGAAGAGGAAUCCACCACUGCUCCAGGCAACCCAUUCUCCUUCUGGGUAGCUUGAACCAUGAGGGACCAUUUGGAGCUAUUUUCCCUGUUACUGAUAUUUGGGAGAGGCACUGAAAGCAGACAGACGGCAGAGGGCAUUUCAUUUGGGUUAAGCUAUUUCUUGUUGCCAGAUUCAUUAUUCUUGACACUCAAAUCCUUCUAUUUCUGCUAUGUGAUAAACCGAGGAACAAAUCUCCAUAUGACCAAGAGCACAGGAGUUUUCCAAGCUCUGAAUUCUUCUAGAAGUCUUGAGCCCAUCUAUUCUCUGGGAUGAGAUCAGCACUAAGGAUACUCCCCUGAGGUCUUGAUUCUUCAGGACUCCAAGGAUCAACGUGAGGUAGUACAGCCAAUGCUCCCUCUGCAGCACAGAUAGACUUCCCACUCUGCCAGGACCCAAAACAGGGACCCUUGUCUUCAGGUGAGGAGCCCAAGAACUUGGCCUGGCUAGUUCUUGUGCCAUGUUCCCAUUAAGACACAGAAAAUCCUUUAAGGAAGGAGAUUAAAAGGAUGAUAAGAAGUGAUGGGAUACCAUACAAGAGGACAAUCUUUACAAACAGGCUGCAAGUUCAAAUCUGGCCUCUGUGACUAAUAUCUUGUGACCUCAGAUAAAUCAUUUCAUUUCUGUAGACCUCAGGUGUCUCAUCUGGGCUAGAUGACCUCUGGGGUUCUUUCUGUCUCUGACUGCUCUGAUAUCAGGUUAAAAAAAGUUUUCUCCCCUUCGUUUUCUAGAGGUCUAGACUGUGUAUAUAUUUAGAUAAGCAUCACUUAAGAGUAUUCAACCUUCUUUCAAAAAGCGUUCUAUAACUAUCAAACUAACAAAAAAAACUAUAUUAGAGAAUGAGAAAAAGUAAUAAGAAAGUUCAUCUGAAAGAUCAAAAGGCUUAGAAUAUCAGGGAAACUAAUUUUAAAAAUGUGAAGGAAGGAGGCCUACCAGUACCACAUCUCAAUCUAUACUACAAAGCAGUGAUCAUCAAAACAAUAUGGUACUGGCUAAGGGACAGAAGAAAGGGUCAAUGGAAUUGGCUUGGGGUAAAUGACCCCAGUAAGCUGAUGUUUGAUAAACCCAAAGAUCCCAGCUUUUGGGACAAGAACCUACUAUUUGACAAAAACUGCUGGGAAAUUUGGAAAACAGUAUGGGAGAGAUUAGGUUUAGAUAAAUAUUUCAUACCCUAUACUAAGAUACAUUCAACAUGGGGAUAUAAUUUAAACAUAAAGUGGCAUUAUAAGUAAAUUAGGUGAACUUAGAAUAGUAUACCAGUCAGAACUAUGGGAAGAAAAGAAUUUAAGACCAAACAAAAGAUAGAGAACAUUACAAGAUGUAAAACGAAUAGUUUUGAUAAUAUUAAAUUUAAAAGGUUUUUUACAAACAAAACCAAUGCAACCAAAAUUAGAAGGGAAGCAACAAGCACGGGAAGAAUUUUGUAGCAGAAUUCUCUGGCAAAGGUCCAAUUACUCAAAUAUACAAAGUACUAAAUCAAAUGUAUAAGAACUCAAAUCAAUCCCCAAUUGAUAAAUGGUCAAGGGAUAUGAACAAGCAGUUUUCAAAUUAAGAAAUCAAAAUUAUCAAUAAUCAUAUAAAUUUUUUCUAAAUCCCUUCUGACUAGAGAAAUGCAAAUCAAGACAACUCUGAAAUACCACCUCAUACCUAGCAGAUUGGCUAAUAUGACAGCAAAGGAAAAUAAUAAAUGUUGGAGGGGAUGUGGCA
ensembl:lncRNA